UUCACAGAAGUCACUAGAGAAAAAGAGUAUUUAUGCAGGGCCUACAAGGAUGGGAAAGAUUUUGGCAGGGAGAAGCAGAGGGCUAAGGAGCUCUAGAAAGAUGAGUUUCCAAGUAUAAGCAAACUGAGGAAGCUGGAAAUGAGGAAAAUGGGGUGGUCAGCAUGGCUGAAGCUUGGGAAAUGCGGAGCGGAGUGGUGGCAAGUAAGCCACUGACAAAUUGCCGAGUUUCUUCAGAAGUAACGAGUGGGGCUUUUCUCUGUAGUAGCUGGGAACCAAAGAAAAUGUGUGCGUGGAGGCAGAGGCAGUCAGGGAUCUGAUCGGAAAGUUCAGUGUGCUGUCAGGGACGCCCAACACGAUGCCCUCCGUGUCUUCAUCUCUCCCUCUCCACCUCCUCAGUCCCUUUCCCUGGACUUCAUGGGAGCCUGUUGAGCUCAAAAGAUCCCCAAGAGCCAAGAUGCAAGCCUGCAGAUUUCAGGACAGCUGGUCCUGGCGCUGCUGGCUGCUCGCAAGGGCCGGGCCUCCUCAUUGCCGUCACCAGCCCCCGUUGGGCCUCAUCAGAGCAAGACCAGGCUCGGCUGAUGCUCGGCGCUGUAUUCCUUGACGCCUCCAUGAGGCUUGCUGCCCAGCAUGUCCCAGGCUUGCUGGAAAUGCUGAAGCUCAGGCUCACCUCAGACCCACGACUCAGAGUCUGUAUCUUUUCCAGAUCCUGGAGUGAUCGCAUGUGCACGUAUAAAUCGGAGAAGCUUUGGCUUCCAUAGCCUCUGCUGGCUGUAACUAAUCCUUCCUCACCCCAUACUGAGGGAAAAGAAAGAAGGGAAGGGAGGGAAAGGAAGGGAAGAGAAAGGAGAAGGAAGGACAGGGGGAGAGAGAGAGAGAGAAAGGGAAGGAAGGAAGGCAGGAAAGGAAAGAAGGAAGGAAGGAAGGGAGGAAGGGAGGGAAGGAGAAAGAGAAAGGAAGGAAGAACAGGAGGUUAGGAGAGAGGAAUGAAAGAAAGAGAAUGGGAGAGGGACAGAGGGAGGGAGAGAGAAUGAUUCUGUGAGUCUCUUAACUCUGGUCCUCCUGUUACACAUCUUUUCUUCUACUUUUCCUUUGUUUCACACUUAAGCUUUGAAGAUGUAAAGUAGGACCAGAGGGUGAGAAAUUCAAGAACCUUGAAAUAAAAGACCUUUCUGUUUGCUUUUCAUUUCCUAAAAAGGAAGUCCUCACUGACUGUUCCUGUAAGGGAUAUUAAGCUGUGUGGAUUGUGAGUGAUUCGUCACACAGCAAUUUGGAGCAGGAAGCACACGAAACCCUAGAGCUAGCCUGCACGCAACUAAUUGAAGCCCUCAAUUAAUCGGAUUGGCUUCCACCUUCAGGAGAAAAGCAAAUACUAAGAAAACAAAUUAGCACCUGGAAUUUAACAACUUCCCUUUUUUGGUGUGGGGGCGCAUUAUAUUCAGAGUACAUGAUAACUGAUGGCUCGUCUCAUAGGCACAGACAUCUUUACAAUCCUCUAAGGCAGAGUGGUGUGGUGGAAACGGAGUUGGCAGAGGCAUCAGAUCUGCCCGGGUUUCCAUCCCAGCUCCAGCAUGCAUGGGCCAUGUCGCUUGGCAAGCAGUCUCACCACUCAGAGCCUUGAUUUCAGGAUUAAAAAAAUAAUAACCUAUUCAACAGAAUCAUGGUCGAGAAGAUUAGGGGUUUGUGCAACUCCUCACCUGGUGGAUACUCAACCGGAAUGAGUUCUCUUUCUCAGUUCCUGCCUACAGAUCUAUAGACACUUAGCUUUAAAAGCUUUGAUUAUGGCCAGUUGCCUGGUCAACCUAAUACCAGCAGAGGAGUGUAUUUUCCCUACUAUGGUGGAACAGAGGUAAAGGUUUUCCAAGUUUGAAGCAAUCAUACAAACAAAAUAGGAGCCCAAAGACUUCUGCGGAGCUUUGGAAUGAGAGAUGCCCAUUCUGGUUUCAGAAACGCCAGCGCCAUCUCUUGGAGGAGCAUGAAAUUGUUUCCUUGGGCUGAAGAAGCAUCCAUGGGGCCCCAGGUAGGUUCAGCUGGUCCUCUCCUUCUUUCAACUGUAGUUUCAGACUGGAACCCCAGGGCUUCUUCCAAGGGAAACAUUCUUACUUAUUUCCUUAUAAAGGUCCUGCAUACCUUUGUUUGUCUCUCUUCCAAUCAAACCAUUCUUUCUCUCUAAUUUCAUCGGGUCCAGUAUUUCCAAAUUUCAGUCCCAGUUUGUAAAUCUACAACUCAAGCCAAACCUUCAAAGACUGAAUUUUCUAAGUGGUUAGUUAUCCUUCUAACACAGAGGGUCUUCCUUCUAACACCCCAGCAGAGGCCGGGUAGCCUAGCACUCAAGAUCCUGGACUCUGAAGCUAGACCACUGUGUUUAGCAUCCCCUCAGCCUUCCAACUGUGUGACCUUGGAAAGUUACUUGACCUCUCUGUGCCUCAGUUUCCCCACCCACAAAAUGAGGCUGACAGCAGACACCACCUAGAAUGGUUGUUGCAGCAUUACAGGAGUUCACACCUGCAGCACUCGGUGCAGGCCUGUGACAGAUCAUGAGCAAGUGUUUGCCAUCAUCUUGGUUUUCAGUGGCUGUUCCCUUACACACCACUUACGACGCUGGGCUAGGAUUUCACUUGACUUGUCCAGGUUACCCACCAGGCGGUGUUUCUGUAGCAUGGGCAGUAAAGGCAGCAUAAAUCUAGGCCACACUCACAAAUGCACAUUGUUAGCACACAAACCCCGUGAUUCAGAUGCAGGUGGUCUGGGGGCCUGAUUUUUAGAGCUGCUGCACUCAGUUUUGUGCUCCUAGGGGGCAGGGACUAGCUCCAUCCAUCUCAGACCCCAGCCUGCAUGCAGCAAGCACCCGCCCCCUUGAAAGUGCUCAGCUCAAGUUGCUUUCCUUCUCCAUCUUCUUUAAUAAAUGAUCUUGGAGUGAACAAAUGGGAGGCUGACAGUAUUACACUAAAAUAACAGGAGUUUCUGGUCACCUGAGAAGCACAAUGGUCUCUCAUCUUCUCCUUACUCCAUUAGGAGUUCAUAUGCCUGCAUUUUCCUCAUUAAAUCUGAGGUGCUUUUCUGAACUCUAUCUGAGAAGGAGCUGAAGUAAUCAAUGAGUGUCUCACACACAAACACAUGGAAACAGGUUCUUAGUGAGAGCGGUGGGGACUCUGACUCCAAAUUUAAUGAUUUUUCACUAAAAAGGAAUGACGCUUCCCUUCACUAGAAAGCAAUGAUGUCUUCGGUGGUUGCAUCAAUGACCAAACAUGUAUAAUAAACUGCUUCUUUGAACUUGAGGACAUCUGAUUAAGAGAUAGAAAGCAAAACAAGCCUUCACAGAUGGUAAUAGUGCUGGGACACAUCACCUUUUGUGAAUAACUGAAGAGCAUAUAUUAAUAACAGAAAUCACAUUGGUGUGCCCUUACUGAGGAUCGACAAAGGAGAACACGUCUAUGUUUUGUGGAAACACGACUGAAGCCUUCAUCCAAUGACGUUGGCCGGCCCCGCUCUCCUCGUGCCAUCAAGCACUCUACGCUGACUCAGUAGAGCAGCACAGCCCUGUGUGUGGAGAGAUUCCCAUGCACCAUGGGAAGAGGGACCAAGCCUGGGCCCUGGAGGGCGCAGCCGGUGCAGUCUGCAGGAGGCUCUGUGUUUCAAUAACUGUGGUGUCCCCACACCCCAAGGGCCAUCUGUAGAUCUGCUGCUCCAAAGUCUCUCACAGUGGCUCUUCUUUGGAGGUCACUCUCCAGUUAAGUGGGGGACCAACUGCAAACUUCUCCCAUCAAUAUGAACUGCAAUAUGAUAUUGCAGCAAACAAAACACACACACACACACACACUCUCCCAGAAGCAUUUAACAGGAGAAGUGUGUACCUACACAUUUAGUCCCAAGAUCUCUUUCCAGGCCCUGUCCAGGUUCGUGGUGGAAGCCUGUCCUCUGCACACUGGCUUCCCCAAAUCUUCCCAUAUUCCAGAGCAGGGGAAUCCUUUCUCCAUCUUUUGGCUCAGAUCUACUGCGGAGUGUGGGAGAAAUAUUAAAAGUAAUGAUCCUUGAUGGUUAAAGCUGCCUUAUCAAGUUCCUGCCCCUGGGUUUAAAUAAAGUCUCUUUUUCUGCCAGCUUUAGAUAAGGAUGGAGGGUGAGAGAAACAGACAGAGACAGAAAGAGAGAGAGAAGAAGGGAGAGAGGCAGAGAAGCAAGGACUCUAUAGGGAAAGAAAGAGCUUGGACAUUAAUUCAUUUUAUGAAUAUUUGUUCUACUCUUCUUAAGAACAAGGUUUGUCCCAGGUGCCUUGGGGGCAAGAGAGAAUUUAAGGGGUGGCAAGGGGCCACUGUCCCGCAUCUUGGGGACGUUGUAGGCAGGCAGGUAGAGAUGUGCUAAGGUUCCCGGGUCCUGGAGAUGCCAGGCAAGUUGGAAAAUGCAGAAGAGGAGGCUGGGGUGGACAGGGGUCAUUUUGGCUGAAGCUGGUUAUGAGAGGCUUAGAAGGUGAAAGUGUCUGCUGUGCUGGGCCCUGAAAUGUAGGUCUUCUUGGCCACAGUGGGAAAGGGGAGCCCUAGAGGUCCUUGAACAGUCUGAGUGACAACACCUGGGCUGCCCAGCCCCAAAGGCCAAAACCAAGACACGUCUUUGUCCCAGAGGUUGGGCUUGGUGGCUGCAGCUGUGGAUGCUGACCCUUUCAUGGGCAUGGGGACAGGUGAAAAGCAGGAGCGAGGCAGGCAGGAGUGGGUGCCAGCACCAGCCCACAGCCAUGAGGCCUGUGCCAGGCCAGCCUGUGGGGACACUGGGUCCCCGAGAGAGACAUGGAAGCUCCCGCCAGCAGGAGACUUGAAGGUGGUCAGUUCUGAAGUCCUCUCCUCCUUAGGCCUGGACCUGGGGACACAGGCUCCAGCCAGCAGCAGGAGCCCAUGAAACUCAUUUGUCCCAAUCUUCUUCCCAAGUCUCAACAGCUUUCGGGGGGUUCUGUGACAGAUGCCCCACUUCCAGCUCCACAGCCAGCCCUACGCUAACUCUGACAGAUGAAAGGCCUCAGAAUCCCCUUCUUCAAUUGUACUGCACCCAACUUGUGGAAAGCAAAACAAUAUUAAAAAUACUUUUUAAGAAACUCUAGAAUAUAUUGUCAUCAAAGUGAUCACGGUUCUGCUUAUUUUUGGUCAUCGCAACCAAUGUACUGAGCCCCCUUUGCCCAGACCCUAGCAGGUCCUGAGUCUCAGCGUCCACAAAACGAGGCUAUGGCCCUUGGGGAGUUCCGUGCGGUGCCACAAUUGGCCUCUGAGUUACUCUAGAGUGAUAAACGCAGCCUUGGCAGUAAAAUACCAGAGAGGUAAUGAGUGCGGACUCCGUGCUCCCUCCGCAGGGGCAGGUGCGUGAGGCUCUAGCGCCACCUCGUGGGCCGUGGGAUUCGUGCCCAUCUCCUCCUGGGCGGGAGUUCCUCUGGAGCCAGGAACUCUUUGGGCUCAGGGUGUCUUUUUAGAAAAGCUUCUGACGUUGGUUCUUCUUUAGUGGACCUUCUCCGGUAAAACGGGGUUAACAACUCCAAACUUUUCCCCACCUAAAGGGAUUGAAAGGCUGUUUCAAAGGAAUUAGAGCUCUGAGACUGCAACCCACAAAACACACAAUAGCAUAUACACAGAGAUGCACAUAGAAACAUAGACACACAGGGACACACACCAGAGAUACACACACACACACACACGGACAGGCAGACACAGGGCCACAAACACAUACACAGAGAUACACACAGAAACAUAUACACACAGGGACACACACCAGAGAUACAUACACAGACACACACGGACAGGCAGACACAGGGCCACAAACACAUACACAGAGAUGCACAUAGAAACAUUUACACACAGGGACUCACACCAGAGAUACACACACACACGGACAGGCAGACACAUGGUCACACACACACACACAUACAUACAGUGAUAUUCAACAAGGGAAGGGUGCACCCACAGGCUCAGUCUUGAGACCUCUCUCCAGGCUCCUGGGUGGGUUGGGGAAGCUGAGCCUCCCUGCCUGCUCAUAGCACACAGCCUCCACAAAUCUUGCUCUAUUCCAGAGUGAGAAAGGAACGUUAAAACUGAUGAUCCCUGAUGGCCAAGGCUGCCUUAUCAAGAUCCUGUUCCCGAUUCAAUAAGAAAAGAUGCCUCUUGUGCCAGCAGCAGAUAAGGCUGCAGCCCUGGGCGUUCCCAGGAGAGCGAACAAUGGAAGCCCCCAGGAUGCCUCUAUAUGAGGUAGGAUGGUUACUUGCCCAGUCCCUGCCUGCCAGGCCCUUAUCUGGGAGGCGCUGGUUCGGGUUGCACCCUCCUGUGUUCCUAGCGGGGGCUGCUGCACACCAGGCUUCUGAGGCCUUCCUGGUGGGGGUUGGUGGAAUGGCGGCGGGGGGAGGGUUUUGACGGUGCAUCCUGAAGUGCUCCCUGCACCUUUCCCAGAAAAAGAAAAGGAUGCCAUGAAAACACUUCACCCUAGACAUGGUUUACCCUCGGGAAAGCUGAUGUGAAAGAAGUUCCAGGGGGCCAGGGAUAGAAAAGGAUUUAGAAAGAUGAAGGCAACAGACAAACGACACUUACAAAGUGCCCAAAGUCUGCAAGUCCUGAUAGUCACAGGGAAGGACAUCAGCUGGCGGGAAACCUCACCUUUUAGGCCUGCAUGUCAGUCUUGCACUGCUGAGCUGUGUGACCCUAGGCAGGCUACUUAAACCCUCUGUGCCCUGGCAUCUCCAUCUACAGAAUAAAGCUUCUAACAGCAUAGGCCUCACACACCUGUGUGGAGACCCCAUAAGUCGACAACAUGUGUUUACCCGAGGAAAUAAAUAUGGGUGCCCCUUUAGGCCUGUCCCACAGAGUUAUACAGCUGAAAGACCUCAGAGUAGGUCCACACCCCUUACCAAGUAAUGCAGGCCUUGAUUAAUUGCCACUUGAAGGGAGGUGGGGAGAAAGCACCCUGUCACAUCACAGCUAAAUUUACUAAAAAAGAAACUCUUUGCCCACUUAUCUUUCGAAAGUGCCUCACAGCAGAGACAGCCCCAACCCCUUCCUCUCUCUCCAGCCUCACCUCUCCUCCUAAAAUUCAGUUCCUCCUCACACUCUCAGUGCCUGGCCCCGGCCAUGCAUUAGAUGCCCUGAAGAGCUUUUGAAAAGGACCAAUCCCUGGGCCCUAUCUCAGGUGUGUCUGAGCAUCUGUAGAUUUUAGAAGCUCUGAGGAGGAUUUACAUGCAUUUAGGGUGGAAAUCACUUGUAAGUAAAUUUUUUUAACUGUUCCCUGUUAAAAAAUAUGAACCAAUGGACCAAUGGACCACUUAUGGCUUCUGCUAAUUCUCUUACAUAUGCCCAUGGUACCUUGUUGCAGUAUCAUUUGUAUAAUAAAAAGAUUGGAGCCAACCAGAAAGUCCAUCAAUGGGGGGAAAAUUAAAUAAAAUGUAGUUCAUUCAGCAAUGGAAUACUAUGCAGCUCUGAAAAAUGAAUCAGGAAGCUUUCUAUGAACAGAUGUGGAAAGUCUCCAAUGUAUAGCAUUAAGUGGAAAAAGCAAGACAUAAUGGUAGUGUGCACGUUCUAUAUUACAAAAAAUGUGAAUAAAGGCAGUUUAUAUUCAUGUUUUCUUGGAUAUACAUUUAAAAAACUCUAAAAAGAUACACAAAGAAUGGUCUAGUAGUCAUUAUAGGGGGUCUGGGAAGGCAAGAGAUAAUAUAUCAUAUUUUCAAAUUUUUGAAUUAUGAGAACAUGUCAUUCAUUCAAAAAUUGAAUGUAAAAAGGGUUAAGAAAGAGAAUAAAGCAAGGGCCGGGACACAUCUCCACUGUCUUCCCAUGGCCCUCUCAGAAGUGGAUCACACCUGGUGCUAGGCAGGGGGACAGAAAUUGCUGUGGCCUGAGCAGAGCCUGGGUCCAGCCAGCAUCUACACAGCCCACGUCCUCCCAGGGGAAUUUCUCUGUGCUCUGUUUUGAGGGGAUGGUCCUGGUACUGGAGUAGCAGAGCCAGGUCCCUGCUUCUUGCAUAACCCUGAGGCUGCCCUGUUUGCUCUUCUUGUGUGGAGGGCAUUGGCAGAGGCCUCUGGCCUGUAGAACCUUUGUGAGCUGAGCCACAACUCACUUCGAGCUGUUCUCUGCCCUGGCUUUGCUACCCUGAGGUCUCCAGUGCCAUCCACACCUUCCGUCUGCCACUGCCAACAGCCACAGGUGAUGGAUGGGGACCAUAAUGUGAGAGGAGAAUUGUGUACUGGAAAUCAGCAUGAAGGGAUAUCCAAAGACCUGGAGAAACCCAAAUCACAUGGGGAUGGGAGAGUGAAGACCCAAGGGAGGGAUGUGCGGCAAGACCUGCUCUGAGCUCUGAGGGUGCAGAUGUAAUCAAGACUGAGUGCUGCCCCACCAGACCUGUAGACGAACUCUCCUUCUGGUGAGGCAGUGAACCUGCAAGCACGGGAAGGUGGUGGUGGGUUGGGUGCCAUGGAGGAAAUGAGGAAGCAGGAGAUACACUGGGGGCCAGGUGGGGUUGCAGGUCUCAGCAGGGUGGGGCUGAGGUGGUGAUGGGUGAGGGAGUGAGCUGUGGAGUAUCCAGACAGGGAAAGCAGCAAGUGCAAAGGUGCUGGGACAGGAGUGGAUUUUGCGGGUCUGCAGGGCAGUCGGUGUACUGGGAGUGGAGUGGAUGAGGUAGGACAUGGAGGCUACAGAGUCUCAGAACCCGUCAGAGGCUGGUGUGCAGUCAGGUUCUGCAGGGCAUUGUUGGCCACUAGGAGGAUUACAACUUUUUCUCUUACCCCAAGUGGACUUGAAACCAUUGGAGGGUCUGAGGGAAGAGUGAUAUGGUCAGAUGAAGUUUUUAAAUCAUGUAUUUAAUUAUUCUAGUUGAUGUGUAGAGAAUGGAAUUGGUGAGGGAGGAGAGAGUAGAAGUAGGGGGACAAGUUAGGACUGAUGGGAGAUUGAGUUGCUCCUUGGCCGUCACAGGAUUCUGCAUCCUCUGCCUUUACCAUGGGCCUUGCCUGCCUCUCCCAGGGACAGAGUGUACCCCUCCAACCUUAUUGACUGCGCAUUUGGCCAUGUGACUUGCUUUGCCUCGAGGGACAUGAGCAAAGGCCACAUCUGAGCAGAAGUUUUGAGGGCCAUUGCCUGGUUGGCUCUUGCUUUUUUCCCUCUGCUCUGAGAAGAGGCAUUUCCAACAGGGGGUACCCUCCAGUCCAGGUCCUAGAAUGGGAAAGCCUAUGGAGCAGGGCUGCCACCGUGGCACACAGCCAUGACAGAGGUGGGAGUGAGAAUGAGAUGGCUGUCGUCGUAAGCCUUGGAGAUGUGGAGAGUGCUGACCGACACAGGGGCCCUUGGGGUACCAGACUACAGAGGCACUGCUGGAACGGUGUGAGGUGAGUUGACUUUGUAAUGUUUUCUGAACAGCAGAGCUACCCAAAUUGGAGUUUGAUGUAUGGCAUUAGGGAGAGUUUGAUUUGGUUUAGGGAUAUGUUAAGUUCGAGAUACUCAUUAGACAUCUAGGUAGAGGCUGGAGUUCCUGGAAAAUGUCAACUACAGGUACAACUUGGAGUCAUCGUCUCACAUUUGCAAACUCAAUAUAUGCAAAUGGUAUGAAAAGUCAUGAGGCUAUACGUGAUCAACCAGAGAGAGGGUGUAGAAAGAGGUGUCUUCUUAGGACCUGGGGCACUCCAGCAUGUGCAGAAUGGAGAUCUCAAAGGGCGAGUGAGCACUGACCUGGUGGUGGCAUAGGCAGGUGCAUGUCAGGGAGAGAGAACCUGUGUGCAAAUACAAGGAAGGUGAGUGACAUGGUUUGGCUGUGUCCCCACCAAAAUCUCAUCUUGAAUUGUAGCUCCCAUAAUUCCCACAUGUUGUGGGAGAGGGCAGGUGGGACAUACUUGAAUCAUGGGGGCAGUUCUCGUGGUGGUGAAUAAGUCUCGCGAGAUCUACUGGUUUUAUAAGGGGAAACUCCUUUUGCUUGGCUCUCGUUCUGUCUUUGCUGGCUGCCAGGUAAGAUGUGCCUUUUGCCUUCCAUCAUAAUUGUGAAGCCUCCCCAGCCACUUGGAACUGUGAAUCCAUUAAACCUCUUUUCCUUUUAUAAAUUACCCAGUCUUGGGUGUCUUUAUCAGCAGCAUGAAAACGGACUAAUACAGUGAGAGAGCAUGACACCUUCAAGAAGGGGGCAGAGGACAAACUCUCCAGCCUGCCUGGGCUCAUGCCCAGCACUGUGGCCCUUCUCUAUCCAGGAGCCUUCCCUGUCAUUAUGCACACCCUCAGUCACUGUCCUCUGCUUGGCAGCACCUCUCUGGACUCACGGUUUGUGGACCAGUUUGUUCUCAUUAAUCCCACGACUUAAAUUUCUAGCACCCAUGACACACAACCUUUCCCUCUCCUAACUCAACCCCUUUGUCACUUUCCCCCACUUCUGACGUAAAGGUAACCCAUCUUCCCCAAUUACAAUUUCUUGUGGCCCAGCCUUGCCCCAGUACCAAUUUUUAGGAGAUGAUUUUUGUCACCAUAGGUUUUAUUUUACUGUGAAAGGCAUAAGAUUUGUUUGGGGCUCUUCUCUCUCUAUGUCCACCUUCCCUGCCCUCAAGUUCACCAUGCUCCCCCAGCAUGAUCUCCAGUCUUCCCUAAUGGCUGUUGGCUCCACUUCCCUCCAGCACUCUAAGAGUUAUCAGCCUGCAGAAUUAUGAGCUGCUCAGGUCACCCUACAGCAAGUCACUCCUCCCACCCAGAUCAUUCUCCCUCAACCCAUCAGAGCAAUCCCUGGAAAACAGGAAGGUGGCCCUUCACUCCCUCCCCUGCCACACUCCCGCCUGGUAAUUCCACCAUGGCUGCUUUCAGCCUCACAGGGACCUCAAGUCCCUGGAUACUUCCAUCCAUGCCAUGAUGUCUGGAACUCUCAAGAAAUAUUUUGGACAGUUUAUCUGCCUGCUCUUGGAUUUAUUGAGCAGGGAAGAAACUCUGUAAGUUCACAUAUCUCUACUCUAUCCCUGACAAUUUUUUCUGGGACUGGAGAGGAACCAGAAAGGGAAUGGAGUUGGGGAUUGAGGAAAGAGGGGAGAAACAAGAGAAGGGAAUACCUUGGGCAGCUGGGCAAGAAGAAACAAAGCCACACCAUCCAGAGACAGGGAUUUUGGAAUAACUGCAAAGUCACAAAAGUAUUGGGAAGAUGACUUAAUGCCCUUGAAUUCAAGUCCUCAGACAUACACAGAUAUUGUGGUGAUCAUCAUAGCAAAGCUAGCCUUCCCAGGAAAGAGAAUGCCAGAGGUUUUCCUCAGAGGAGGCAUAGAAUUAGCCUAGCCAGUGACCAGUUAGCCAGUGACCAGUUAAAGGACAAGUGUUGACUUUGACUUUACCCCAGUCCACUCACGCUGCCACCCCCAUGCCCUACAGACCCAGCCAUGUCCUUGUGUAAAGCACACCAGGAGACACCAAAGGUAUCACAGAGCAGGUCCAAGUGGGACAUGGGUUCUGAAACCUUAAUGCAAACCAAUGGCAUGCUGGUAUCUGAUCCCACCAUGACCUUCAUCUCGAGAAAGGUGCCACGAGGCUGUUUCUUGAAAGGAAGUUUUGUUGACCUGGUUCCUAUACUGAAUAUGACCACUCACUACCUGGAUUUCUUUAGCCAUUUGGAAUAGGAGCAAGACCACAAGCGCUCAUUACCUUCCUGCAUGAAAUUACAUCUCCUGGGAGGAAGAGAGCCAUAAACAUCAAGGUGGGUGUCACCUGGUCUUAAUUUCUUGGCUUCAUUAGAAAAAUCUGAGAACUUGGAAUGACAUACCCACAGAGAACAUUUGGGUUUACAUAAACUAGUAUAUCCUUCAUGUAUAAAUACAUAGUUUAAUGUAAAAGAAUUGUGGGCCCAAACCAACAGUUUUAGGGUAUUUAAUUAGGAUAUUAUUCAAUAAGCACAAACGGCUCUUCCUAGGUCGGUAUUUGAUUCACCACUGAAAAAUUUGAAACUAGGAAGCAAAUCUCUAGAGAAGUUGCAUUUAUUAUUUUGGAGUAAUGGUAAACUUUGGGGAUUUGAUGAAAACGAUGGGCCAUCUCAUCAUAAAAAUUCACACAUACAAACAUUUUUUUCUAUGCAAUUUAGAGGGUACCCAGCCCUAGCUAAGAAUCUCUGAUCUAUUGAUUAAAAUUCUAAAAUAACUAAAAUAAUAUGCAUUUAUUUAUUUAUUUAUUUAUUUUGAGAUGGAGUCUUGCUCUGUUGCACAGGCUGGAGUGCAAUGGCACGAUCUUGGCUC
rnacentral:lncRNA from 1 species